GUAGAGUGGCAAACGGGUGAGUAACACGUGGGUGACCUGCCUUCGAGUGGGGGAUAACGUCCCGAAAGGGACGCUAAUACCGCAUGACAUCCUGCCUUUGAACAGGUGGAGAUCAAAGCUGGGGAUCGCAAGACCUAGCGCUCAAAGAGGGGCCCGCGCCUGAUUAGCUAGUUGGUGGGGUAACGGCUCACCAAGGCGACGAUCAGUAU
rnacentral:rRNA from 1 species